rnacentral:rRNA from 1 species
UACGUAGGUGGCAAGCGUUGUCCGGAUUUACUGGGCGUAAAGAGCGCGCAGGCGGUUGAUCAAGUCGAAUGUGAAAGCCCCGGGCUCAACCUGGGAAUUGCAUUCGAGACUGAAUAGCUAGGGUACGGUAGAGGGAAGCGGAAUUUCCGGUGUAGCGGUGAAAUGCGUAGAUAUCGGAAGGAACAUCAGUGGCGAAAGCGGCUUCCUGGACCAGUACCGACGUUCAGGCACGAAAGCGUGGGGAGCAAACAGG